rnacentral:rRNA from 1 species
UACGUAGGGAGCAAGCGUUGUCCGGAAUCAUUGGGCGUAAAGCGCGCGUAGGCGGCCCUGUAAGUCCGUUGUGAAAGUCAAAGGCUCAACCUUUGAAAGCCGAUGGAUACUGCAGGGCUAGAGUCCGGAAGAGGCGAGUGGAAUUCCUGGAGUAGCGGUGGAAUGCGCAGAUAUCAGGAGGAACACCAAUAGCGAAGGCAGCUCGCUGGGACGGCACUGACGCUAAGGCGCGAAAGCGUGGGGAGCGAACAGG